GGAUGCGAUCAUACCAGCACUAAAGCACCGGAUCCCAUCAGAACUCCGAAGUUAAGCGUGCUUGGGCGAGAUUAGUACUAGGAUGGGUGACCUCCUGGGAAGUCCUCGUGUUGCAUUCC
rnacentral:rRNA from 2 species